rnacentral:rRNA from 1 species
UACGGGGGGGGCAAGCGUUGUUCGGAAUUACUGGGCGUAAAGGGCUCGUAGGCGCCCUCUCAGUCGGAUGUGAAAUCCCCAGGCUCAACUUGGGAACGGCAUCCGAUACUGGAGGGCUUGAAUUCGGGAGAGGGAUGCAGAAUUCCAGGUGUAGCGGUGAAAUGCGUAGAUAUCUGGAGGAAUACCGGUGGCGAAGGCGGCAUCCUGGACCGAGAUUGACGCUGAGGAGCGAAAGCUAGGGGAGCAAACGGG